UUGUUCCCUGCAGGGAAUAUUGACGGGGUGGGCACUGAAAGGGUAAGAAGGAGUUGUCCCCAAGGUUUCCUCUGCCCUGGAAGAGACCAAGGCAAUAGCUGGGGCAGGUGUGACCUGACACAUUUGGUUACUGACCUUGCUGGAGUGCAAGGAACAGUCCUCAGGGCUCUAAACCGGCAUUCUGAGUUGAGAUCUUGCUGAGACUUGCUGGCUCCUUGUCCUUAGCCUUACCAGAGGAAGAAGACAGUGCUUGGGUCUGACAGGGUUUGAAAGGAAUGAAACUGUCUACAGAAUCUGUAUGGAUGGAUAUUACAUGUGUAACCCUGACUGACCUCAGUCAUCUGCGGACACAAACAAACCUGGGGCUUCCGGGGAUUACUGCAUAAGCCAAAAGCCAGCUGGCUAAAGCUAUAGAACAGACUCAUUAUUUUCUCAUCUUAUUUAUGAAAGCAUGCUCGUCAGUGAUGGAUGUACCUACAGCAAUGAAAGAACCAGUGUGCUCAAGCUGAAACACAUUCUUGCCAAGUAAAUAUUGGAAAAGCUCACAGCUACUAGGACAUGGAUGCAAAUCAUAUCAGAUCACAGCUAACUUGCAUUAUAAAGUCACACUAGGAAUAAUGAGUAUGAAGGUCCAAAGUAAUCUACCAAUAUAAAGGAUUUACAAAAUGCUACCUGCAAAUCAAAACUCAAUUUCAGGUUUUGCAAAGCCUAAAAUACAUCAAUUCAGAACGCACAGUGUGCUUUUUAAUCGGACAUACUUUAAAAAACUUUGGAGAGAUCUGAACAAUUUUGGCAACUCACUGGAAAAACUAAAGUUUGAGCUGUUGAAAAAUGAAACAUUCAUGUUGGGAAACAUUGCAGUUUUGAAGUGUCUGAAAAAACAUAUUUUGGGGGGUUAAUUUAUUUUGUGAAUCUUUUGGGACUCUUUUGUUACCCAAGUUCUAUGAAACACAUAGUAAAAAAGUUUUGUUUUUCUUUUCCAGAGGCUGGAUUUUUUGUAAAAAACUCUUUCAAUUAAAAAGUUUCAUUUGGGUGUUGGGGUUUAGCUCCAGGCACACCAGCAA